AAAGCUGGGGGCCCGCAACAGGUGAGCGCUCAGUUCUGCUCUUGUGGCCAGAGCUUACAGUACGCGGAACGGGAACACUUGAGAACGGAACAGGUCAGAGCACCGCCAGCAGCCUGAGCGCGCCUUUAAGCCAAGCUGAGCCGAGCCGAGCUUUCGGCUCUGAAUAAUUUGUGUGAGAGUGGUUUUUGUUGCUGGGUGUGCCGCAGCAGUGCGACGUGAACGGGCGAGCGGCCAACACGUAAGCGGCGCGUUGUGCAGUGGAAACGAAAGAGUGAGAGAAACAGACGACAAUAAGCAGCAGCAGCAACAGCAGCAACUCAGGUGUGAAUUGAUAUUGAGGUUAUGUAAGCGUCAGGCCAUAAAAACGCGCAUACAAAACGCUGCUGCAUUGGCCAGGCCACACGUUUGCCAAUAAUUCAAGACACGCGCCUUGCCCCGAUCCACUCCGCACCCCUUCAGCUGGAGAGAUUCGCAUUCCAAAUGGACGACUCCAAGGCGCAGCCGCAGCAGCAGCAGCAGCAAACCCAUCCUUUGGAAGAUGUGUCCCUCAAUGAGAAUGAUGACGACAAACAGACGCCCAAAAAUUGGGUUAAAUUCGAUGAUGAGGCAGACGGCAGUGAAAAAAAUAAUAACAGUAACGGCAGCGAUGCCACACAACAGCAGCAACAAGAACAGCAGCCGCCGCAGCCGCAGCAGCGGCAAAACAAGUUAGCUCUGCCGCCGCCGCCGUCGGUUGUGAGCAGCAACAACAACAGGCGGGCGCGCUCGCGCAGUCCGAAUCAACUAUCGACAACAACAACAACACCUGUCCAGCGCCCAGCCGUUUCCUCGACAACAGCUGCGUCCCCAGCCCCAGUCCCGGCACCAGGCACAGCCGCAGCCUCGUCGCCGGAUGUGGCGCCCGCUGUUUUGACAACUGAGAGUACGCACGUUAAUCUGAAUGCAUCCGGCAGUGGCAUUGUCAGUGGCAACGUUGCCAGCGGGGCGAGCGGCUCCACCCCGGCCCGACACCCCCAGCAGCUAAUAAACCAAAAAGCAACGGUAGCCUCAGCCUCCUCCGUCCAGGCUCCAGCCUCGUCCUCCAGCCACCAUAACGGCAACGGGGCCCAUGGCAGCAGCAGCACCAGCAUACCCAUGGAUCAGGGCUCCGGCAUGCGCACAAUUGAACUGUCAACGGGUCGCAUCCGUGAGGGAUUUGCGAAUGGCGAUGUGAUUGUCACACUGCUUCCGGCCAACACCAAAUGGCCUUGGAUUACGCCCGCAAUAUUUCGUCCGGAGCUGGUGCCGGAGGAGUUGAUGGCCCAGGGUCUGACGCUUACAGUGGAGGACUAUGUGAAUGCGAUGGAGACGCUGGUGAAUGAUUACCGCUUCACCGUGUACAACAUUUGCUACAAGCGCAUCCUCGUCUGCUGGAUCCUGUUCGCCUUCACCGUGCUGCUGGCGUUGCUGUUCUCGGGCCUGCAGGGCGUGGCCCUGUUCGCACUGGGCGUGGGCUGGUUAUUCUUGAAUGCGGCGGCCAUAUUCCUGUGUAUGUGGGUGAAACUGCGGCUGUCGCGCGGCCUGGAGAAGUGCCUGGCCCGGGUCAACAAGCAGCUGAUGCGUCACAAAAUACUCCUGGUGCUGGAUGACCGAGGCCGCAUCUCGUGCCACAAGGUCAACCUCUGCUUCAUGUACUUCGAUGCCACGCAGUGCGUGAGCUUCCUCAACGAGUUCCUGGAGCACACGGAGCAAAACGGCGGCGAGGCCAUCAAGGCGGGCUGGGAGGCCAAGCUGGACAUUGAUCUGAACGAUAUUGUCAUUCAGGGCAGUCAGCCAGUGAGGAUGCCGCGUAAGCAGGAGCGCGGACUGCAGCUGUUUCUGCGCUACGGCUCCCGUUGGGGCAUGGAGGCGCUGCGGGGCCUGGUGGACGUCACGCCCCUCGAGCCGGGCCGCCACUGCGGGCAGUUUCAGUGCCCCUGCCAGUACAUCAAAGAGCACUUGCAGUGCAAACCGCGAGCUGGCAGACGUUUGUAUCUAUGCUGAUGGCUGAUGGCUGGUGUCUGGUGGCUGAUGGCCGAUGCGGCUAUUAUAUGUAUGAUGGAAAGCGUCAACUAUCUUAUUUGUGGCCUUGGAAUUCUGUCUGUCAUGUGUUCUCCUGCGCUCGACACUUUUUAAUUGUUUUUGAUAAGAGUGACUGCAAAGUUAAAUUACAUUUACCAUCAAGGCAGUCCGUGCUUUCGUUUGUCAACCGAGUGUUGCUACGCAGAAGGACGCCUGCCGAUCCCUGAGUCCAUUGUGAUAUGCGGAUUUCGAGGAAAGCAUAAGAUAUCCAGUCCCGAAUGUGGCAAGCUUGAUGUUGCCAUCGGUCUCGCCCAGGGAGUUUUUCGCCACGCAGCGAUAGGUGCCAAAAUCGUUGGGUCCGACGGCGCGGAUUUUUAACUUCAUGUAUUUCGUGUAACCGCUGACUGUGGAUGUGGUCUCGUAUUUAUCGCCGGCCCGCGAUGUGUCUGAAAAUAUGCGAAAUGCUGAAAAUUCAAGCUGUCAGUCUGUAAACGGAGUGUGUGCCACAAAUUAAAGUGACAAUUUUUCUGCAACGCCAAGAGCAGCUCCGAAAAUCUGUAUGGCAAAAAAUCAAUUAAUUAAUGUCACCUGCACGGACUGGCUGACGACUAGCUGUUGUUGCGAGUCCUGCUUAUGUGCAGUGAAGCGGAGCGCGUUCUCAGUAGAGACUCCAACUAAUUACGCCUCUUCCUUGGGACCCCCUGUGCUGGGUACUGGGUGUAUGUGUAAUUAAAACUGGCGCAGUUCUUCAACCAUUUCCAUUGGCAUCGCCAUCGCCAACUAAAACUUUUCUCAUUAAUCAGUGAAAAUCUAAAAGAAAACUUUUGUUCUCUCUGCCGGCAUUCCGGCUGCGGCUUUAAUUUCGUUUCGUUUCAUUCCGUAUUGUGUUGCCUACUUUCUGGGGCUGGAGCUGGGACUGGAGCUGGGGCUGGGCCUGGGACUACGACUACGACUACUACUACGACUACGAUAUCAAAUGGCUGCCACAGGUUAAUUGGCGGAACUGUUCGUUCACACCCACGGAAUAUAAUGUUAGCAACCCCCCAUUCAUACGCCGCCGGCUCGAACGCUGGGCUUCAGCUUGGAGACUCAGGACUUAUGUACCCUACGAUUUGCCACAAAUCGAGUCGUAUCCGAUUUCCCCCCGCCAGUCGGAGUCCUAUCCAAGCAUUACCGAGGCGUAAUCGAGACAGACCGAGUCCUAUACCAGCCAGAAAGAAUCGUAUCCCAGCAAGACAGAAGUGCAUCCCUAGCACGAACCUAACCAAGCCAUCGUCAUCCUUCAACCUGGCUAAGGACAGCAAGGACUUUUUUACGCUCUCUACUAGUCUUAAGAUAGAUAUCGUUGUUGAUAGGUUUAAGGAUAUAAGCGAUCAUACAUAAAUGUUUUCAACCUUUUUAUUUGCUUAUAUUAAGUUAAGUUAUGAUAAAUAAAAAUAUUGAAAAAUAA